GGGCAACAGCAGCACAUACCCAGCCAUCCUUCCCUCACCCUGGCAGGCUCCCCUCACAGUGCCGAGCUCUGAAAUUGAAGAAGACAUUUCCCAUCUAGUGGAAAAACUCAAACAUGUUUCUGUCCAGCCUUCUGAAGGUGGUAAUGGCUUCAAUGUGGCUGGGAUCCAGUAUUUCCCAAAAGGUAACUCAAGCCCCACCAGCGAUGUUAGUACAGGAGAAGGAGGCUGUCAUCCUGGAAUGCACAUAUGACACCAGCGAUCCAAAUUAUAGUCUAUUGUGGUACAAGCAGCCCAGCCGCGGGGAGAUGAUUUUCCUUGUUCGUCAGGAUUCUCACAACCAACAAAAUGCCACAGAAGGUCGCUACUCAUUGAAUUUCCAGAAGGCAAGAAAAUCCAUCCAUCUUGUCAUCUCAGCUUCACAGCUGGAGGACUCUGCAGUGUAUUUCUGUGCACUCAGGAGCCCACAGUGAGAGGCAUGCUGGAGGGAGGUGUACCCAAACCCCAGAGCUCUUGUAGAUACAUCCACCUGUUGUAGGGAUCAAGGCAGGGAAUUCCAUCCUACACAGGAAGUGGCUAAGGCUGGGGCAGCUCAGAUGGAGGGUUAGAGGGAAAACCUGACUCUAAGAAAAUACCUCUCUAGAUAAGAAUUAUCAUUCAUCAAAAACAUCCUUACCCCUGAAAAUUUGUGUUGAAAGGGUUUAUUGAAAACUAGAAAAGCCACGAUAAACAAUUUGCCAUUUUGCAAUUAGAUUCAGCUGUGAGAAUUGGCUAAGUAAAUUCGGAAACAUUUG